GUUGGUUCUCCUUAUAGCAAACCAUGGUGACGCAGAGCGUGAUGCUUUCAUAUUGCGGUACAUCUCUGACAUCUCAUGAGCAUGACCGAAACCUCACAACUGGAAGCGUCAAAGAUCAUGUCCAGGUGUGGAAUUUCCCCUUGUCGCUUGUGCUGCUUCAGUUACGCGGUGAAGCCCAUCCCGCCCAUAAACGCCAUCGUGGAAAUACAAGUCUACUCAGGAUUUACCGGUCUUGGUCCAACAGUGAUGAUCCAAACUGAAACCUACAACCUUGGUGAAAAGGAUGUGGUGCACGGGAGCCCCUGACACGGGGAGACCAGACCAAUGCUGUCUGGUAACCUUGGACAACCCCACAAACCUCCUCGCAGCAACACAUACCCACUAACUAUUUGCUGCCUUCAAACUAAAUAACGAAAUGCACUUGGUGGACCUCCACAAACCUUUUUCUGAGAAACUCCGCAGGCUCUGCCAGUUGACAUGCCGCCAGACAGCACAGGCAAAGUCUUCUUCAGAUCAUCCUCAGGGAGCACACAAGUGGCACACUGUGGAGGAAGUGAGAGUCAACAUACAGAACUCAAUAUGAUGUGCCCCGGGGACAUUUUGUACUCUGAGAUAGCCCUGUAGUAUCUGGCAUUGACAUCCAGUUCGGAGCAGAUUGGCCACUUCACAUUGUUUGUAAUCGGAGGGACUUCUCAAAGCACAGUCUGACCACUUUGACCGUCGAGGCGGCUGUCAUGCCAAGGUCAGUGUGAAAAGCAUGAAAAGUCACAAGGAGAUUAAAUUUGUUAUCGCUGUGUUCUCUUAUUUGGCAGGUGGUCAGUGCUAUAACCUCUGGCUCAUUUCCAGGGAUUGAUUUCCAUGUCUGCACGCACAAAAUCUGGAAAAACAUCGCUAUUGUCGAGGUCAUGAAUGGAAAACUUAAAUGAUUGAUUGGUCACAAUUUCAUCAGCGCUACUGAGUGUGUGUGUGUGUGUGUGUUGAGGGAUGGUGGGGCAAAAAAAACAGCACACUUCCUAACCAGAUGUAUGGCAAAAAAUCAAUUUUAAAUACGGACAAAAUAUGUGCUUUUUUUUAUCCGACCAAUAUACACCACAAUAUCGGAAGACAUUUUAUGCUCAAUGCAUGUACGAAGAAGUGCCUUCAACAAAAAAGCGUUUGAAAAAUCAUAAAUAGCCACAUACUGCGAUCGUUCUUUUCCCAGUGCAAAGGGCUCUCAUCUUUAAAAAUGACCAUUCAAGGACGUCACAAAACUAUUCAACAGCAAACCAACAUUAACGCGCAAGAACAUUUUUUGACAAAAAUAAACUCACACAAAAUUUUAAGUCUAUUUAGGUACCAUGUUUGCCCUGCAUGUCAUUCCAAAUCUGGUAAAAAAUAUUUAGCUUACUAUACUCACAUUGGUGCAAGUGCAACAAAGAUGUGUCUGCCAUCUCGUGGUACAUGGUGGUAAUACAACUUCAAACUAUGCAGUGGACCCCCACUAUUGGUGGGCAUAGGUACUCACCAAUAGUGGGCUGGCACACGAGUUAUGUAUUUUAAACCGAAAGAUUAUUCAAAGAAAAAAAAAUGCAGAUAAGCUUCUAUUGGAAAAUUCCCAUGAAAAACAAUCCGUGAUUUGGCAAGUCCAUCGAUACCGAACCAUGAGUACGCGGGAAUCCACUGUAGUAGAGGAAACAGCCCCCCUCCCACACCCCACUUCCCAAUUUUAGUUUAGAUCAAAAAAAAUAUUUAUCUAUGUAUUUAUUUGUUUAAUAAUCAAAGGCCCACUCAGGGCCACCAGUUGCCCAUUACUGGUUUUGGUUGAAUGACACAGUGACGAUUACACGGGACUGAAAGUAACGUGGAGUUCAGAUUGUUGGUUGUCUGGUAGCUGACAAACUGUGGAUGAUGACAAAUAGAAUCCAUUACCCCAGUUCGUCAAGCACAUGCCACACACUCAUACUACUUUCACAGCAGGGCCACGGAGGGCCAGGGGUCACCAAAUAAAUACUUUGGAACUUCUGAAAAGUCAGGUCAAUACACACGGCAGAAAGUAGUUCUUUCCACUCAAAUGUCUACCCACACACCAAAAACCUGAACAAACACUGUCAACACGCCAAA